rnacentral:rRNA from 1 species
GACGAACGCUGGCGGCGUGCUUAACACAUGCAAGUCGAACGGAAAGGCCCUGCUUGCAGGGUACUCGAGUGGCGAACGGGCGAGUAACACGUGGGUGAUCUGCCCUGCACUUCGUGAUAAGCCUGGGCAACUGGGUCUAAUACCUGAUAGGAGCCACGUCUAGCGGGAUGGUGGGAAAGUUUUUUCGGUGUAGGAUGAGCUCGCGGCCUAUCAGCUUGUUGGGGGGGUAAUGGCCUACCAAGGCGGCGAGGGGUAGCCGGCCUGAGAGGGUGGACGGCCACACUGGGACCGAGGGGCGGCCCAGACUCCGACGGGAGGCAGAAGUGGGGAAGAUUGCACAAUGGGCGCAAGCCUGAUGCAGCGAGGCCGCGGGGGGGAUGACGGCCUUCGUGUUGUAAAAUCCUUUCGCUAGGGACGAAGCUUUUUGUGACGGUACCUAGAUAAGAAGCACCGGCUAACUACGUG